rnacentral:rRNA from 1 species
AACCGACGCCGCGUGAAGGAUGAAGUUCGUUCGAAUGUAAACUUCUUUUGUAGGGGAUGAAUGUUCCGUUUUACGGAAUUGACCGUACCCUGCGAAUAAGGAUCGGCUAACUACGUGCCAGCAGCCGCGGUAAUACGUAGGAUCCGAGCGUUGUCCGGAAUUACUGGGUGUAAAGGGCGUGUAGGUGGGUCUCUAAGUCGGUGGUGAAAUCUUGCAGCUUAACUGUAAAAUUGCCAUUGAUACUGGAGGUCUUGAGUACGGCAGAGGGAAAUAGAAUUCAUGGUGUAGCGGUGAAAUGUGUAGAUAUCAUGAAGAAUACCGGUAGCGAAGGCGGUUUCCUGGACCGUAACUGACACUGAGGCGCGAAAGCGUUGGGAGCAAACAGGAUUAGAUACCCUGGUAGUUCCACGCCUUAAACGAUGAAUACUAGGUGCUGGGCCCGCAAGGUUCAGUGCCCAAGCUAAACGCAUUAAGUAUUCCACCUUGGGGAGUACGAUCGCCAAGGUUGAAACUCAAAGGAAUUGGACGGGGGCCCC